GAAAUUGUACAUACUUGUCCUGCAGCAUUAAGUCACUGAUGAGCAGAAGCUUGAAGCCAGCAAUAUUUUCCACCGCUAUGUUUAAAAAGAAGCCAACAAGCCCUACACUCAAUCCAAUAAGAAGCACAAGUGUCCACUUUAGGAAUAUAUAUUGAAAUAUCUGGACCUUUUUCCUAGAUCUCCAAUCUUGCUUGAAAAGGUCAUUUUCAAUAAUCCUGCAAAUAGAUGAAAAGCAUAACAGCAUUUAAAGCCUUCCCAACCAAUAUAUAUUGAAAUAUCUGGACCUUUUUCCUAGAUCUCCAAUCUUGCUUGAAAAGGUCAUUUUCAAUAAUCCUGCAAAUAGAUGAAUUAGCAAUGCCAAAAUCAGAGAACUCCAAUAAAAAUUUAGUUAAAACCCUUGACUAUAAUAUGAACAAUGAUCUUUUGACGGAACUGUAUACGUAAUUAGGAAACAUCAAUGCCGGAUACUUUGUACCUUCAACUUGAGUUAAAGUAUAUUCCUACCUAGCAAGCUACUGCUUCUGUGCAUUUAGGUUUUUCCUAAUUAAAACGGGUGAAACUAUUACAAAGUUGAUAGUUUUCUUCUCUGAAUCAGCUGUUAAUUACAAGCAGUAUCUGAGGGACAAUACCAUCCAAACAGAAUGUUUGACAGCACGACCUCAAAGCAAAAGCCCUAUGCAUAAUGAGACUCUGUCUGUUACCACACUUCACCAAGAACUUCAACCCUCAAAUUUUACGGAGUACUACCUUGUUAGAGCACUGAGAAUGACCAACUAUAAACAAACCCUCCGGUUUGUAAGACUAUGAUUUAGGCAUAAAGGUUCUUAAUUUGCUACCGGGGGGUCUGAGGAAAGGCCACACCCUAAGGAUGUGAUAUAGACAGUCUAUCCUAAAGCAAGCAUUAGUGGCUGCUUUUAUUUAAUUUUUCCCUUGUGAUUCGGCCCUUCUCCGAACCCGCGCAUAGCAGACCUUAGUGCACCGGGCUGCUUUUUUUUUUCUUUGCCAUCACCAAGCUACAAAAUUCUUUUGUCAACGCCAGAUUCCCUGAUCUAGUUAAAC
rnacentral:lncRNA from 1 species